AAUAAAUUUAAAAAUAUAUUAUUUUGAAAUUUAAUAAAAUGGAUACUAGUAAAUGUGACAAUGGAAACGAGAAAAAUGAGGAGAAGGAGCGGGAGGAGGAAGAGGAAGGAAAUGAGUGGAAGGGGGGAAUGAUGGGGGGAAAAGAAAAUAUUUUUUUUUUUGAAAAUAAUUCAGAAAGAAAUGUGCUUGAUUUCAGUAAUACGCAUGAUUCUGAUGAUACACACAAAUUUAAUAAUAUAAACAAGUCGAGUAAUAUAGAAAUAAAUGAAAAAGGAUAUACCCAUUACAAUUUUACUACGAAUAAUCCAAAUAUAAAUAAUAUUAAUAGUAGUAAUAAUAUGAACAUAGUAAGUGAUAUUAAUAACAUGAACAUAAAAAGUGAUAUUAAUUAUAAUUUGGAAAAAAGUGUAGAUAUUGAAACAGAAAAUAAACAUAAGAACGUGAAUAAUUCACAUAAUGAAGCGAAGUAUACAUAUGCAAAAAAUCACUUCCUACGUAAUAUCUUUCCGUAUGGUUCAAAUAAUAAUUUAUCAAAAAAUAAGAACACGAGAAAUAACAAUAUGAAUAGUAAUAAUAGUAUACAGAGCAAGCAAUUGGUGAAUAAUAAGAUUAUUAAUAGUUCAGAUAAAGGAAAAUACAUUAAUACAUAUUUAAAUACAUAUAAUGCAAAUAAUAUAAUUAACCAUUUAAAUAAUUUAAAAAAAUAUACAAACACACAAAAUAUGUAUAUAAAAAAAAAUUACAAAGAUAAUGUUUUGAUGCGUCCUACAAAUUCCUACUUAAGAAGCAGUGUAACUCAGAAAGUUGCGACUGUAAAAAAUAGUAUUCAUAAUUUAAGUUUUACCAAUAUUAAAUCUAUGACUUUAGAUCCAUUUACAACAAAUAUGAAUAAGGACAAAACUACUAAACAUAUAAGAAACAACAAAUGUGUAGGUGAAAAAAAAAAGAAAAAAAAUAUCCGUUUAGAAAAAGUAAACAAUAGUUUUACAAACGGUAACAACAUUAACGAAAGCCUGAGUAAUGACGAGUGUGAUAGCAAGAACGAAAUCAGGAACGAAAUCAAGAACGAAAUCAAGAACGAAAUCAAGAACGAAAUCAAUAACGAAAUCAAGAACAAAAUCAAAAUCAAAAGUAAUAAUGAUAAUAUGAAUACAAAUAAAGAUAGUAGUUGUAGUGUACAAAAAAAUGAUGAGUACAAAAAUAAUAACCUGAGCGAAAACAAUACUACUAACAACAGAACAAUAAAUAAUGAAAAAAAAGAAAGAAACGAAAGACAUUUAAAUUUUAUUAAUUUAAUUUUAAAAAAUGAAUUAACUAAAUCGCCAAAAAAUGAUAAUGAAAUUAUAAGAGUUGAAAAUGAAAUAAUUCGUUUAUAUGAAAAUCAAAAUAGUGUUGAUAUCGGCAUAAACGAUGAUAAAAACAUGAAUGGAAAAAAUGAAAAUAAUAACAAGAGAAAAUGCAAUAAUUCUAUGAAAAUCCUAAACUUAGAAUCGUGUUUAACACAUAUAAAUGCAAAUAAAAAAAUUAUUAAAAUUUUAUAUUAUCUAUUAGAAAAUGAAAAACAAAUUAAUGUAAAUUGUCAUUUAAAAAAAAAAUAUAUAGAAAAUGACAUAGACUAUAUUAACACAUUGAAUUAUGAAACAGUAUGUGAUGUACAAAGGGAAUGGAGAAAUAAGAAGAAUGUAUGUUAUAAAAACAGAUCACAAAAAAAUAGCACUGCCAAUACAACAGUGGAUGAUGACACUGUAUCAAAUUAUUUAAAUACAUUUAAUAAAAAACAAAACACAAAACAACCAUUUAGUUCUGAAAAUGCAAGUCAUGAAGAGGCUAAAACACAUGACGAUAUGAAUUAUAUAAAAAGUGGUAGUAGUAGCAGUGGUGGUGGUAGUAGUAGUAGUAGUAGUAGAAGUAGUAGUAGUAGAAGUAGUAGUAGUAAUAGUGGUAAUAGUAGUAGUAGUAGUAGUAGUAAUGGUAGUAGUAGCAGUGGUAGUAGCAGCAGUGGUAGUAGUAGUAGUACUAGUAGUAGUAGUGGUAGUGGUAGUAGUAGUAGUAGUAGUAGCAGAAGUAGUAGUAGUAGUAGUAGUAGUAGUAGCAGUAGUAGUAGUAACAGAAGUAGUAGUAACAGAAGUAGUAGUAACAGAAGUAGUAACAGAAGUAGCAUUCGUAGUAGUAAUAAUAGUAGCAGUAACAGUGGUAAUAAUUUAGAUUUGAAUACAGAUUGCAAUAAAGAAAAAAAUAAAUUAUUAGAUAAAAAGAAAGCUUUCGAAAAUAUGUACAAUUAUUUAUACAUGAGUAAUCCUCAAAACAAUUCCAUUAGUCCUAAUAACAUAUCUGAAAACCAAACUAUAAACACUAUAUCGAAUAAUUCAUUAUACAAUUCCAAUGCAACUAGUAUAUUGAGUUAUGACAAUACAUAUCAAAAUUGC
ensembl:lncRNA